rnacentral:rRNA from 1 species
GAUGAACGCUGGCGGCGUGCCUAAUACAUGCAAGUCGAGCGAACGGACGAGAAGCUUGCUUUUCUGAUGUUAGCGGCGGACGGGUGAGUAACACGUGGAUAACCUACCUAUAAGACUGGGAUAACUUCGGGAAACCGGAGCUAAUACCGGAUAAUAUUUUGAACCGCAUGGUUCAUAAGUGAAAGACGGUCUUGCUGUCACUUAUAGAUGGAUCCGCGCUGCAUUAGCUAGUUGGUAAGGUAACGGCUUACCAAGGCAACGAUGCAUAGCCGCCCUGAGAGGGUGAUCGGCCACACUGGAACUGAGACACGGUCCAGACUCCUACGGGAGGCAGCAGUAGGGAAUCUUCCGCAAAGGGCGAAAGCCUGACGGAGCAACGCCGCGUGAGUGAUGAAGGUCUUCGGAUCGUAAAACUCUGUUAUUAGGGAAGAACAUAUGUGUAAGUAACUGUGCACAUCUUGACGGUACCUAAUCAGAAAGCCACGGCUAACUACGUG